UACAGAGGGUGCGAGCGUUGUUCGGAAUUAUUGGGCGUAAAGGGCGCGUAGGCGGUGCGGUAAGUCACCUGUGAAAUCUCCUGGCUCAACUGGGAGCUUGCAGGCGAAACUGCCGUGCUGGAGUGUGGGAGAGGUGCGUGGAAUUCCCGGUGUAGCGGUGAAAUGCGUAGAUAUCAGGAGGAACACCGAUGGCGAAGGCAGGUCUCUGGGCCGAUACUGACGCUGAGGAGCGAAAGCGUGGGGAGCGAACAGG
rnacentral:rRNA from 1 species